rnacentral:rRNA from 1 species
GACAGAGGUGCCGAGCGUUAGGCGGAAUCACUGGGCUUAAAGCGUGUGUAGGCGGGUCGUUAAGUACCUUGUGAAAUCCCCCCGGCUCAACCGGGGGAAUGGCUGGGUAUACUGGCGAUCUUGAGCGAUCCAGGGGCAGAUGGAACAAGUGGUGGAGCGGUGAAAUGCGUAGAUAUCACUUGGAACGCCAAAGGUGAAGACAGUCUGCUGGGGAUCUGCUGACGCUGAGACACGAAAGCCAGGGGAGCGAACGGG